UGGAAGUGCUUAUUAUCUACGGUUUUAAAUGAAUGAUAUAAUAUCACAAAUUGGAUUGUUAUUGAGAUGUUAAUAAAACAGAAAAAUAAAGCAGCUCAAGCGGUUUUUCAUUCAUGAUAUUGUUGCAAUAGACUUUAUUUGUACAGAUCAGCUGAUAAAGUAUGUUGCAUACUGAGGAUAUGCAUUUGAAUGCAUUCUUUACUGACAUAUGUUGUUCUCUCUCAUUUUCCCUCUUCUCCCCUCCUCUCUCUCGCUCUUCCUUUCUCUCUUUCAGGUAACAAACUGCCUGGCUAAAGAUUGCCAUGGAAACAUGCAGUUUGAGAGUGAGAUAAGAAAUGAUUGAGAGAAUCAAUGUCUAAGCUGCUGUUGGAUGGCUGUUCCCAGCUGGUGCAGUGGUCAUAUGACCAAGUGGAGGGGCGGGAGGUCAGCAAGACAAGCAGACAAGUAGACAAGCACAAAAAAAUAAGGAAAGCAAAAAGUAAAAAGAAAAGACAACAAGUAGAAGAUAUGUGCGUGUAUGUGGUGUGUGUGUUUUUGGCUGGGCUGAGUGUUGAAUGCAGUCUCUGGUGA
ensembl:lncRNA